UGGGGAAUAUUGCACAAUGGGCGCAAGCCUGAUGCAGCCAUGCCGCGUGUAUGAAGAAGGCCUUCGGGUUGUAAAGUACUUUCAGCGGGGAGGAAGGGAGUAAAGUUAAUUCCUUGCUCAUGACGUACCCGCAGAGAGCCA
rnacentral:rRNA from 1 species